GGAGCAAGGGAGUCGUGCACCGACACACGCACGCUACGGGGGCGGGGAGGGUGCUGCAUAACUCUGCGUGUCCCUAAUCUUGGAGCCAAAAGUUUUGCCUGCCUUGGAGAGCCGGAGGAGGUAUCACCUGAAACCUAGCAGGUACCAGGAUAUUAGAAGGAAAAUGCAACAAACAAGGCCUUCACUUAUGAAGUUGACAGUCCAGUGGGAGACACACAGCUACCUUCCCAUUAUUUGGUCUUCAAUUGAAUACGUGAUAAUUUAAGCCCAACUGUAUUUUUUCAAAAUCCAACCUAAGAAAAUUACAGGCCAAUCUUAGGAGAAGUAAUGUGGCAAUAUUCUAUUAAAAUGUCUUUAAUAUGAUUCAUAACUUGCUUAUAUUAGCAUUCUAAGAUUAUCAUGUAAUUUAAAUCAUAUUAUUUUCAAAUUCUCUACAGAAGUUGCAAACUACUGAGAAUAUAUCCAUGCCUUCUAAAAUCCUCAAAUACCACUUUGCAAGACAAUAUACUAGAUGAUUUGGUGCUUUUGGUUAUGUAUGUUUUGUAAAAUUCCUUAGCAUAAAUCUCUAAUUCCCAAAAUAUGUUCCAUAGAAUUAAUGUUAACAAGCAUUUCGUGAGACAUGGAAAAAAUUUUUGGUAAGCUUUGAAUUAGAAAAAGUUAACUAUUUUCAAUGUGGGAAUGCUAAGACCCUUUAAUAUGCCAGCACACAAUUUGACCCAUGGAACAUUUGUCUUUUUCUCAUCUUCAGAGUAUUUAAAGAACUAAUAUUUAAGUAUGUGCUUAUAGCUGUUCAAAUAAAUAUACCCAGGAGAAGUUGAAAUAAUCAAGUAUUUUACUGUCAAGCCUAUUUUUAGAAUCAUUUAUCAGUCAUCAUCUACAUAGAAAAUAAAAGAAUCAUUAGGUAUAUGGUACUAUUUUUCAGUGCUUUGUGUAUUGCUUCAUUAAUAAUACAGGUUCAAUAAAUAUUUGUUCAAUUAAUUGAAAAUAUUCCAUGAAUAGCAGUUUCUUCUACUUUCAUUUCAUGAUCUAUAUACAGGAAACAGCUUCUGGAGAAAAGACUGACUAUAGUCACAAAACUAUUUUUAUAUAGCUUUCCUAUGUAACCAAUAAUUACCUUGGGGUACCAUGAAGCAAUUUGUUUAGAAUGUGUACCAUCCAUAUAGGUGCUAGCCACACGUCUAUUUAUGUUAUUUAAAAUAAAAUAAUUUAAUUCCUACGUGGCACCAGCCACAGAUCAGGUGCUCACUAGUUAUGUGUGAACAAUUUAUAGAUUACAGAACAUUUAUUUCUAUCAUCACACAGCUAUAUUCGAUGAUUUAUAUAAAUUUAUCCUCCAAACAACUGACAAAGUAAAGAUAAAAACUACAGACAGUAUAAAACCAUCACCUAUCAGCUAUUUGUCUACCUAAAUUUGACAAGCUCUUUUAUUGUGGUAAAGACAGAAUAAAUGUAACACAAGAAGUCCCAUGGUUUGGUUUGGUUUGGUUUGGUUUGGUUUUGCUUUGUUUUAGAAAAAAGCUUGCAUUGUAGCAUUUGAGGCCCUCAGACUUGGCAUUAGUCUCUUCCAGAAGAACACACCAAGUUCAGAAGGCAAUUUGGAUUCUCUAUCAUGGAAAAGUGGCCUCUAGAAAGCCUACAGAUGAAUAUUACCCAGGUAAUAGCAGCUGGCUUGGUUACUGAAAACAAGCUGUAAUACAUUUUUAGUCUCUCCUAACAGCAUCAAUGAAUUGAAAAGAUAAGACAGGUAUUGGCAGGCCAAAAUCAAAGCGUGGGACUCCAAGGAAUAUGCACAGCAAGAAGGCCACUCCUGAAUGGAAAUUAUUUGCUGAUUUAGGAAAAUUGAAGUUUUGUUUGGACAGAUUUUUCAUACAGAACAAAUGUAAAACUAUAGGCUCUGAUUCACUUUAUAGUCAUAGGCCUCAAAUUUAAAUGAUGGGACCCCAAAGUACAGCACAUUUAGCAUUAGGGUUAUCAGAAGUAAAAUUCUCUUCUAUAUAAGGGAAGUAAAAAAACAGUGGGAAAUUAAAAAUCUGAGAAUCAGAAGCUGUGAAAAUGUAGCCAGCAGCUGGCCCUCAGGUAAAUUGGCAUCCAAAAUUCAUUCCACCUCAGCACAUCCUAAAAUUCCAUGUCUCUAGUUUUUGUGAAGUGAUCUUAUGCUAAUGAGAGUCCAAAAUGCCCGUGAAACAGACCCGUCUAAUAGUUUUUUCCUAGUUUUUUACAAAUAUCUAACCCACUUCUAAUA